rnacentral:lncRNA from 10 species
GCCAGAUUCAGGUGCGGCCAUUUGUGUGUCCCCGAGGUUCCUCGCGGGCCGGCAUCCCACGCCGAGGGUGGUGGUGGCAGGCUUUCCAGAAAGGCAGCACACCAGGCUCAGCUCUGCUGGCGAGCAGGAGGCGACGGCAGAGGAAACUUCAACCCGAUGAACUUCCUGGUUGCGGGGACAUUUGCCUCCUCCUGCCACUCACCACCUCUGCUCUGGUCCCUCCCUCCAAGAAUCCUCAUAGCGUCCUCUCUCCCCACUCUCUCCCAUCCCGCGUCUCCCAUAUUUGCCCCAGCUUGGCUCAGGGCCACAGUUCUGCACUCUUCAGCCGGCGGCGCCACCAGCAGUUGUUUCUACGCGGGAAAUAGGGCAACAGCAUCCCAGCACAGCUGAGUGCCCAAGGAUGGUCAGCCGGGUAGGGCAAGAAGCUUCUUUCAGGGAUUCUGAUCUCACGAAACAAGAGUAAUGAUGGCACUUCACUCAGAGGUUUGUCCUGAGGCUUAAAUGAGGCAACAUGGACACAGCAUUUUAGCACAAGGCCAGCUGGCACAGGAUUGACUCCUGGUGGAACCCAACUCAGUGAUCUGUGCAGUGUGGUGUUUUCCAAACUGGCCAAGGUGUCUGCAGGGCCCUCAGAAUUUUCCAAGCAAGAAAAGAUUUGGCUACUUGGAGAAACUUCAUCCUUCUGGAGGCAUCACCUCCAGAAUCUACUUGAAGUGGAUGACACUGACUUCCAUGAACUGUUUUCCUUUUGCUGAGGGUGAUGGCUUCCAACUCCAUCCAUGUCCCUGCAGAGGAGAUGAUCUCAUUCCUUUUUAUGGCUGUAUAGUAUUCCAUGGUGUGUAUGUACCACAUUUUCUUUAUCCAGUUUAUCAUUGAUGGGCAUUUAGGUUGAUUCCAUAUCUUCGCUAUUGCGAGUAGUGCUGCAAUAAACAUAUGCAUGCAUAUAUCUUUAUAAUAGAAUGAUAUAUAUUCCUUUGGAUAUAUACCUACUAAUGGGAUUGCUGGGUCAAAUGGUAUUUCUGCCUCUGGAUUUUUGAAAAAUCACAACACUGUCUUUCACAGUGCAAACCACCGUGAAACUAAUUUACACUCCCACCAACAGUGUAAAAGUUUUCAUUUUUCUCCACAAUCUUGCCAGCAUCUGUUGAUUUUUGACUUUUUAAUAAUAGCCAUUCUGACUGGCAUGACAUGGUAUGUCAUGUAUAUCAUUGUCAUUUUGAUUUGCAUUUCUCUAAUAAUACACUUAUUAUUUAGGAGCUUUUUUUCAUAUAUUUUUUGGCCGCAUGUGUAUAUUUUAAGAAGUGUCUGUUCAUGUCCUUCGCCACUUUUUAACAGUGUUAUUUGUGUUUGUCUUUUAAAUUUGUUUAAGUUACAUGUAGCUUCUGGAUAUUAGACCUUUGUCCAAUAGAUAGAUUGCAAAAAUUGUCUCCCCUUCUGUAGGUUGUCUGUUCACUCUGAUGAUGGUUCCGUUUGCUGUGUGGAAGCUCUUAAGUUGGAUUAAAUUCCAGUCGUCAAUUUCUGCUUUUGUUAUAAUUGCUUUUGGAGAUUUCAUCAUGAAAUCUUUGCCCAUACCUAUGUCUUCAACGGUAUUGCCUAGAUUUUCUUCUAGGGUUUUUAUUUUAAAUUUAUACUUUAAGUUCUGGGGUACAUGUGCAGAAUAUACAGGUUUGUUACAUAGGUAUAAAUGUGCCAUGGUGGUUUGCUGCACCUAUCAACCCAUCAUCUAUAUUAGGUAUUUCUCCUAAUGCUCUCCCUCCUCUAGCCCCCGCUGUGUGUGAUAUGCCCCUCCCUGUGUCUAUGUGUUUUCAUUUUUCAACUCCCACUUAUGAGUGAGAACAUGUGGUGUUUGGUUUUCUGUUCCUGUGUUAGUUUGCUGAGAGUGAUGGUUUCCAGCUUCAUCAUGUCCCUGCAAAGGACAUGAACUCAUCCUUUUUUAUGGCUGCAUAGUAUUCCAUGGCAUAUAUGUGCCACAUUUUCUUUAUCCAUUCUAUCAUUGAUGGGCAUUUGGGUUGGUUCCAAGUCUUUGCGAUUGUGAAUGGUGCCACAAUAAAAAUAUAUGUGUGUGUGUGUGUGUGUGUGUGUGUGUGUCUUUAUCGGAGAAUGAUUUAUAAUCCUUUGGGUGUAUACCCAGUAAUGAGAUUACUGGGUCAAAUGGUAUUUCUAUGACCAGUGAUGAUGAGCUUUUUUUCAUAUGUUUGUUGGCUGUAUAAAUGUCCUCUUUUGAGAAGUGUCUGUUCUGAUGGGGUUGUUCGUUGCUUGUAAAUUUGCUUAAGUUCCUUGUAGAUUCUGGAUAUUAGCCCUUUGUCAGAUGGAUAGAUUGAAAAAAUUUUCUCCCAUUCUGUUUGUUGCCUGUUCACUCUGAUGAUAGUUUCUUUUGCUACAUAGAAGCUC